GGCUGUAAAUCCCUGGAAGAAUCAAGUCUCUAUUCAUAUUUACAUCUUUCAAAGCAUUUAGCACAGGGACUUGCAUCUCUCCAUCAUCAUGUGCUGCAGAGGGAGUGCCUGUGCCCAGAGAUGAAUCUGUGUUUCUUUACUAUUUGGUGCUGAUGAAGACCAGAAAAAAAUCAGAUAUACUUCCUCAAGGAGUUUAUAUAAUAUGUGCUGUAAGUAGACAGAAAUAAUUUUUAUGGGACACAUUUUGUAAUGGAUGCUGCUUCCCUGGUCCACCUAUUCUAUGGUGGAUGUCAAAAUUUGAUUAAAAUGGUUAAAUGAUA